GCUUUUGUGGUGUAGUGGUCAGCACGCUCGCCUCGUAUUCAAGAGAUCCGUAGUUCAAGUCCCGGCGAAGGUA
rnacentral:tRNA from 1 species